rnacentral:rRNA from 1 species
GACGAACCGUGCGAACGUUGUUCGGAAUAACUGGGCUUAAAGGGCGCGUAGGCGGGCUGCCAAGUUCGGGGUGAAAUCCUCCCGCUCAACGGGAGAACUGCCCCGAAUACUGGCGGUCUCGAGGGAGGUAGGGGCGUGCGGAACUAUGGGUGGAGCGGUGAAAUGCGCAGAUAUCGGGAGGAACACCAAUUGCGAAGGCAGCUCGCUGGGACGUCACUGACGCUGAGACGCGAAAGCGUGGGGAGCAAACAGG